GCAGCUGAAACCAAUUUCAUCAUACACACUUACUGCUGCUCUUCUACCUUGGAAAUGAUGCUCAGUAUUGAAUCUAAGAAGCUAAGAGGGAAGGAAGGAAAGGAGGAAGAAGAGGAGAAAGCAAAAGAGAAGCUGGUGUCAUGAUAAUCAAGAGAAUAAUUGAUAGGGGGAAGACAGCAUUAUCAAAAGUUGCAGAGAUGUCAAGCAGGUCAAGGACUGAGAAAAAGGUAAAUGAGUAUGCUGAGAUGGGAGGAACAAGAUGACCAGGGAGACCAAGAGACCUAUCAAAGCUAUGUGAAGUUUCACUAACAACGAGGGUCCCCAGAACCAGUGGGAGCAGCAUUUGAGUCCAAUGAGGAACCACUGCAGCCAUCAAGUGACUAUCAAAGCCCAGGCCAGCUGGAGACUGACCUGUCAGCUGAGAAACUGCAUCCUCCAUGACACAGAAUGCUGUCCACCUCCAGAGAAAGAACUAUUGGAGUCAGAAUGCUGAUCAAAGAAUACAAUUUUUCAGUUUA